CCAUGCAAGUCGAACGAACUCUGGUAUUGAUUGGUGCUUGCAUCAUGAUUUACAUUUGAGUGAGUGGCGAACUGGUGAGUAACACGUGGGAAACCUGCCCAGAAGCGGGGGAUAACACCUGGAAACAGAUGCUAAUACCGCAUAACAACUUGGACCGCAUGGUCCGAGUUUGAAAGAUGGCUUCGGCUAUCACUUUUGGAUGGUCCCGCGGCGUAUUAGCUAGAUGGUGRGGUAACGGCUCACCAUGGCAAUGAUACGUAGCCGACCUGAGAGGGUAAUCGGCCACAUUGGGACUGAGACACGGCCCAAACUCCUACGGGAGGCAGCAGUAGGGAAUCUUCCACAAUGGACGAAAGUCUGAUGGAGCAACGCCGCGUGAGUGAAGAAGGGUUUCGGCUCGUAAAACUCUGUUGUUAAAGAAGAACAUAUCUGAGAGUAACUGUUCAGGUAUUGACGGUAUUUAACCAGAAAGCCACGGCUAACUACGUGCCAGCAGCCGCGGUAAUACGUAGGUGGCAAGCGUUGUCCGGAUUUAUUGGGCGUAAAGCGAGCGCAGGCGGUUUUUUAAGUCUGAUGUGAAAGCCUUCGGCUCAACCGAAGAAGUGCAUCGGAAACUGGGAAACUUGAGUGCAGAAGAGGACAGUGGAACUCCAUGUGUAGCGGUGAAAUGCGUAGAUAUAUGGAAGAACACCAGUGGCGAAGGCGGCUGUCUGGUCUGUAACUGACGCUGAGGCUCGAAAGUAUGGGUAGCAAACAGGAUUAGAUACCCUGGUAGUCCAUACCGUAAACGAUGAAUGCUAAGUGUUGGAGGGUUUCCGCCCUUCAGUGCUGCAGCUAACGCAUUAAGCAUUCCGCCUGGGGAGUACGGCCGCAAGGCUGAAACUCAAAGGAAUUGACGGGGGCCCGCACAAGCGGUGGAGCAUGUGGUUUAAUUCGAAGCUACGCGAAGAACCUUACCAGGUCUUGACAUACUAUGCAAAUCUAAGAGAUUAGACGUUCCCUUCGGGGACAUGGAUACAGGUGGUGCAUGGUUGUCGUCAGCUCGUGUCGUGAGAUGUUGGGUUAAGUCCCGCAACGAGCGCAACCCUUAUUAUCAGUUGCCAGCAUUAAGUUGGGCACUCUGGUGAGACUGCCGGUGACAAACCGGAGGAAGGUGGGGAUGACGUCAAAUCAUCAUGCCCCUUAUGACCUGGGCUACACACGUGCUACAAUGGAUGGUACAACGAGUUGCGAACUCGCGAGAGUAAGCUAAUCUCUUAAAGCCAUUCUCAGUUCGGAUUGUAGGCUGCAACUCGCCUACAUGAAGUCGGAAUCGCUAGUAAUCGCGGAUCAGCAUGCCGCGGUGAAUACGUUCCCGGGCCUUGUACACACCGCCCGUCACACCAUGAGAGUUUGUAACACCCAAAGUCGGUGGGGUAACUUA
rnacentral:rRNA from 1 species